GCAACCCAGAUUUCUGUUCGGCCAUGUUUUCAAGUCUCUAGCCAGACGGUAGAGCUGCCAGCACGAACCAAACACUUGUGUUUGUAGGUAGGCGAGAAGUCAGGCAAAGUUUCUAAGAUACAAGUGAGACAAACAAGAAGAAAAUAGUUUUCCCUGGGAGAAGGAGGAUCAACAACUUGCAGGCACCCAAAAAUCAUAGUCACGAGAGUCUGGGUUUGGAAAGAAAAGGACAACGUUACAUUUCACCUGCCUCUCUCAACAGGGCAACAUCAAGCUCUGGGAGAGCUGACUCUGGUUCGUGCUCCACCACUUGAUGUGUAGCUCUGAGCUUCAGGAAGCUGAUUUUUAAGCCAAUGUCAGUGUCUUGCCCUGUUCUUCAUUGGGUUCAGUCAUUUGGAUGCACUGGCAGCUCAGAGCUUGCAGAGAGAGAGGUCAGUGUAUCUCUCCUCACAGUUGGAUCCCUUACAAGCUGCUGUGAGGUGGCGCUCCUGUUCUUCACCCAAGACUACCAGCCCUCUUCUGCUCCAGUUGUAACCCAUUCAUCCAGCCCCUUCACCUCAGGGCAAGAAUGCAUGUUGUCAUAUGGUGGAAGGUAUCUAAGACUGCAGUGUCUUAAAAGAACUUCACCCAGACCCCCAGGGAAAGAAAAUAACAGGUAGAGUACCAUCAGGAAAAGGAGCAAAGCAGUGAUCACAGGAAUAUAGCUUGGACUGGACAGCACUCAUCAGAAAGAAAAAGCUUCAGUGGGAUGGAUACACCCAAGAAAACUAGAAAUGAAACCCAUGAAAGAACUGGCAUUUGGAGGCUAGAAAUAGCAAAGGAUACUCAGCAGCCAAAGGGCAACUACAAUGAACAUCAAAUAAAAAGAACUUUGCCCUCUUUUUCUCACGGCAUCCUCUUCACCAUCAUCAGAAUUCCCUGAUCCUGAGACACCAAAAGAGAGCAUGACAAAUGAGUGGAAAUUAAGGAAAAACAAACAAACAAAAAAGGCAUUAUCCCCUUGCACUUCACAGGGUUCAGGCUAUCAGAUGCUGAUUCAGUCUGAGCUGGGCUUGAGGGAGAAAUUUUAGGCUAUAUGUGAACAUGAAGUUUUAAUUAGUCUAGAAAUUUAAAUAUCUGAAAAUGUCAAAAAUGCAGAUCACUACCUGAAAUACUCUCCAAUUUUGUAAAAAGAGAAUCUAAGGGAAUUCAUCUGAAAGCCAGAGCAGAAAAAGAGACAGAGAGAGAGAGGGAGAAGGAGAGGAAGAGGAAGGAGAAGAGAGAGGGAAACAAUUUACGAUUUGCAAUGUAAGAGAUUCAGUGUUUUCGACAGUUGCUUGAGGAUGUAUAUACGAUUAUGUGUGCAACUUUAUGAGUUAUACCCCAUUGCAAUCCCUGCUGCCUUCUGAUAGCUGCUUUGUUAUUGCUAUGUAAAUAGUUGUAAUUAAUAAAGGAAAAAAUAUAUUUACCUUUGUAAAUUAUCAACAUUUUUGUACCUUAA